rnacentral:lncRNA from 1 species
AUGUCUUUUUGUUUAAGGCAGAAACUUGGAGUAUGCACACGUGUGAAUGAGUGGAGAAGGGCUGUCUUUGGUUUCUUUGUGUCUCUUACCAAGGUAAAGAAGACUGUCAAGUUUGGAGAGACUACAUCCAUUCUAGAAGCUGCUUACCUGAGCCACAAACGUUUAUACGGAAGUCUGGCCCUAAGGCUUUUCAAAUCAGCAGAGGCAUGGAAUAUUUGUCACCCACUUUUCUGCAGAUGGGAAGUGAUGCAUAGAGAUGAAAUGAUUUAUUGUUUCACACUCUGUCAGAGCAAGUACUUGUGCUCACCAUUCCUAAGGUCUAGCUCUACAAAGUGGAUGUGCAGAAAUACCAUCAAAAAGAUUGGAUGGAGGUCCUUAAUUUGA